GAUGAACGCUGGCGGCGUGCCUAAUACAUGCAAGUCGAGCGAACAGAUAAGGAGCUUGCUCCUUUGACGUUAGCGGCGGACGGGUGAGUAACACGUGGAUAACCUACCUAUAAGACUGGGAUAACUUCGGGAAACCGGAGCUAAUACCGGAUAACAUAUUGAACCGCAUGGUUCAAUAGUGAAAGGCGGCUUUGCUGUCACUUAUAGAUGGAUCCGCGCCGUAUUAGCUAGUUGGUAAGGUAACGGCUUACCAAGGCAACGAUACGUAGCCGACCUGAGAGGGUGAUCGGCCACACUGGAACUGAGACACGGUCCAGACUCCUACGGGAGGCAGCAGUAGGGAAUCUUCCGCAAUGGGCGAAAGCCUGACGGAGCAACGCCGCGUGAGUGAUGAAGGUCUUCGGAUCGUAAAACUCUGCUAUCAGGGAAGAACAAAUGUGUAAGUAACUGUGCGCAUCUUGACGGUACCUGAUCAGAAAGCCACGGCUAACUACGUG
rnacentral:rRNA from 1 species